UACGGGGGGUGCAAGCGUUGUUCGGAAUUACUGGGCGUAAAGGGCUCGUAGGCGGCCAACUAAGUCAGACGUGAAAUCCCUCGGCUUAACCGGGGAACUGCGUCUGAUACUGGAUGGCUCGAGUUUGGGAGAGGGAUGCGGAAUUCCAGGUGUAGCGGUGAAAUGCGUAGAUAUCUGGAGGAACACCGGUGGCGAAGGCGGCAUCCUGGACCAACACUGACGCUGAUGAGCGAAAGCCAGGGGAGCAAACGGG
rnacentral:rRNA from 1 species